UGAUGAUCGGACACGCUGAUUUCAUUGUCUGAGGCGGCAGUGAAGAUCCAGGAAAAAUCUCUGAAUCUUUCUACUCCAGCAUUGGCCUUGUCUGGGAUCCUCAGAUCCUAUCUAGGAUCCUGUGAACACUUCUGUGAUUGCAUCACUCCCGAGAUGAAUCUACGUUCAGUAUUUACUGUAGAACAACAAAGGAUUUUACAGCGUUAUUAUGAAAAUGGAAUGACAAAUCAAAGUAAAAAUUGCUUUCAGCUCAUAUUACAGUGUGCACAGGAGACUAAGCUGGACUUCAGUGUAGUCAGGACGUGGGUUGGCAACAAGCGAAGAAAAAUGAGUAGUAAGAAUUCUGAGUCAGGAACAACUGGAACUCUUUCUGGUACUUCCUUGACAGCUCCAGAUCUUACAGUCAGAAAUGUGGGCAACAGUGUUCAACCUUCAAGCCAACAGUCUUCUUGGACUUCAGCCAAUAAUGAUGUCAUUCUAACAGGUAUAUAUAGCCCAGCCUGUUCACUGAGUAGGCAAGGGACAACUAAACAUACCAAUACACAAAUUACAGAAGCUCAUAAAACUCCUAUUCAGAAAACAUCCAGUAAAAAUGAUACUGAGUUUCAGUUGCACAUUCCUGUUCAAAGACAAGUAGCACACUGUAAAAAUGCCUCCCUGCUCCUAGGUGAAAAAACAAUUAUUUUGUCAAGACAGACAAGUGUGCUAAAUGCUGGAAACUCAGUAUAUAAUCACACAAAGAAAAACUAUGGAAGUUCUUCAGUGCAAGCUUCUGAAAUGACAGUAUCUGAAAAACCAUCUGUGUGUCACCGAUCUUGCAAAAUUGAACCAGUUGGAAUUCAAAGAUCAUAUAAACCUGAAUAUAUAGGUAUGGCAUCGCAUAAUUUAUGUGGCCAAAAGCCAGCUCUUAGAGACCCAUACUGUAGAACACAAAAUUUGGAAAUCCGUGAAGUGUUCUCAUUGGCAGUAAGUGAUUAUCCUCAGAAAAUUCUUGGAGGAAGUGCCACGCAGAAGGCUCCAAGCUCAGCAGAAGGAAUUUGUUUGUCAAUUGCAAUGGAAACUGGAGAUGCUGAGGAUGAAUAUGCGAGAGAGGAGGAGUUGGCUUUAAUGGGAGCACAAAUACGAAGCUACUCAAGAUAUUAUGAAAGUGCAAGUUCCCUUCAAAAUGAGAACCAAAGUACAACUUUGCCUGGACCAGGAAGAAAUAUACCAAAUUCACAAAUGGUGAAUAUUAGAGAUUUUUCAGACAGUGUACUAUAUCACAACAGAGACUGCCAUUUGACAUCACGAAACUCAUUACAUACAGCAUCUAGUACAUUGUACAGUAGUACAAAUCCAUUACGGAGUAAUUUUUCUCCAAAUUUUUCAUCAUCAAACCAAUUGAGAUUACCACAAAGCCAAAACAAUUACCAGGUAACAUGCAUAUUUAUUUUAUAAAUUUUUUAAAAGCUGUGUUUCAGUUUAAAAAGCUGUGUAUCUGUU
rnacentral:lncRNA from 1 species